rnacentral:rRNA from 1 species
UACGUAGGGUGCAAGCGUUAAUCGGAAUUACUGGGCGUAAAGCGUGCGCAGGCGGUUAUGUAAGACAGUUGUGAAAUCCCCGGGCUUAACCUGGGAACUGCAGUCGGGACUGUCUAGCUAGAGUAUGGGAGAGGGAAGUGGAAUUUCAGGUGUAGCGGUGAAAUGCGUAGAUAUCUGAAGGAACAUCAGUGGCGAAAGCGACUUCCUGGACCAAUACUGACGCUCAUGUGCGAAAGCGUGGGGAGCAAACAGG